rnacentral:rRNA from 1 species
CAAUAGCGUAUAUUAAAGUUGUUGCAGUUAAAAAGCUCGUAGUUGGAUUUCUGGUGGGAGCGAUCGGUCUGGCGCUUAGCGCGAGUACUUGCAUCGUCUCCGGCCAUCCUUGGGGAGAGUCUGUCUGGCAUUAAGUUGUCGGGCAGAGGAUCCUCAUCGUUUACUGUGAAAAAAUUAGAGUGUUCAAAGCAGGCUUAUGACGUUGAAUAUAUUAGCAUGGAAUAAUAAGAUAGGACUUUGGUACUAUUUUGUUGGUUUGCGCACCAAAGUAAUGAUUAAUAGGGACAGUUGGGGGUAUUCGUAUUCCGUUGUCAGAGGUGAAAUUCUUGGAUUUACGGAAGACGAACUACUGCGAAAGCAUUUACCAAGGAUGUUUUCAUUAA